GUGCCAGCAGCCGCGGUAAUACAGAGGUGGCAAGCGUUGUUCGGAAUUACUGGGCGUAAAGGGCGCGUAGGUGGUGUUGUCAGUCAGACGUGAAAUCCCCGGGCUUAACUCGGGAACUGCGUCUGAUACUACAAGACUUGAGUUCGGGAGAGGGAUGUGGAAUUCCAGGUGUAGCGGUGAAAUGCGUAGAUAUCUGGAGGAACACCGGUGGCGAAGGCGGCAUCCUGGACCGAAACUGACACUGAGGCGCGAAAGCCAGGGGAGCAAACGGGAUUAGAAACCCGCGUAGUCC
rnacentral:rRNA from 1 species